CCUACGGGAGGCUGCAGUGGGGAAUAUUGGACAAUGGGGGCAACCCUGAUCCAGCCAUGCCGCGUGUGUGAAGAAGGCCCUCGGGUUGUAAAGCACUUUCAGUGAGGAAGAACGCCUGGUGGUUAAUACCCAUCAGGAAAGACAUCACUCACAGAAGAAGCACCGUCUAACUCCGUGCCAGCAGCCGCGGUAAUACGGAGGGUGCGAGCGUUAAUCGGAAUUACUGGGCGUAAAGCGCGCGUAGGUGGCUUGAUAAGCCGGUUGUGAAAGCCCCGGGCUCAACCUGGGAACGGCAUCCGGAACUGUCAAGCUAGAGUGCAGGAGAGGAAGGUAGAAUUCCCGGUGUAGCGGUGAAAUGCGUAGAGAUCGGGAGGAAUACCAGUGGCGAAGGCGGCCUUCUGGACUGACACUGACACUGAGGUGCGAAAGCGUGGGUAGCAAACAGGAUUAGAUACCCCUGUAGUC
rnacentral:rRNA from 1 species